rnacentral:rRNA from 1 species
UGGGGAAUUUUGGACAAUGGGCGCAAGCCUGAUCCAGCCAUGCCGCGUGAGGGAAGAAGGCCUUCGGGUUGUAAACCUCUUUCGGGCGGGACGAAACGGGGCGCACGAAUAGUGCGUCUUACUGACGGUACCGCAAGAAGAAGCACCGGCUAACUACGUGCCAGCAGCCGCGGUAAUACGUAGGGUGCGAGCGUUAAUCGGAAUUACUGGGCGUAAAGCGUGCGCAGGUGGCUGUGCAAGCCAGGCGUGAAAUCCCCGGGCUCAACCUGGGAAUGGCGCUUGGGACUGCACGGCUAGAGUGCGGCAGAGGGCGCUGGAAUUCCUGGUGUAGCAGUGAAAUGCGUAGAGAUCAGGAGGAACACCGAUGGCGAAGGCGGGUCUCUGGGCAGUAACUGACGCUGAGGAACGAAAGCGUGGGUAGCGAACAGGAUUAGAUACCCUUGUAGUCCCUGAGCGGGCUGGCAAGGCGCAU